AGUGAACGCUGGCGGUAGGCCUAACACAUGCAAGUCGAACGGCAGCACAGUAAGAGCUUGCUCUUACGGGUGGCGAGUGGCGGACGGGUGAGGAAUACAUCGGAAUCUACUUUUUCGUGGGGGAUAACGUAGGGAAACUUACGCUAAUACCACAUACGACCUACGGGUGAAAGCAGGGGAUCUUCGGACCUUGCGCGAUUGAAUGAGCCGAUGUCGGAUUAGCUAGUUGGCGGGGGAAAGGCCCACCAAGGCGACGAUCCGUAGCUGGUCUGAGAGGAUGAUCAGCCACACUGGAACUGAGACACGGUCCAGACUCCUACGGGAGGCAGCAGUGGGGAAUAUUGGACAAUGGGCGCAAGCCUGAUCCAGCCAUACCGCGUGGGUGAAGAAGGCCUUCGGGUUGUAAAGCCCUUUUGUUGGGAAAGAAAAGCAGCAGGUUAAUACCCCGCUGUUCUGACGGUACCCAAAGAAUAAGCACCGGCUAACUUCGUG
rnacentral:rRNA from 1 species